CGGAGCUAAUGCCGGAUAACAUUUGGAACCGCAUGGUUCUAAAGUAAAAGAUGGUUUUGCUAUCACUUAUAGAUGGACCCGCGCCGUAUUAGCUAGUUGGUAAGGUAACGGCUUACCAAGGCAACGAUACGUAGCCGACCUGAGAGGGUGAUCGGCCACACUGGAACUGAGACACGGUCCAGACUCCUACGGGAGGCAGCAGUAGGGAAUCUUCCGCAAUGGACGAAAGUCUGACGGAGCAACGCCGCGUGAGUGAUGAAGGUUUUCGGAUCGUAAAACUCUGUUAUUAGGGAAGAACAAAUGUGUAAGUAACUGUGCACAUCUUGACGGUACCUAAUCAGAAAGCCACGGCUAGCUACGU
rnacentral:rRNA from 1 species